UCACCUGGGGAUUAAACACACAACACCAGGUUCACUUAGCAACAAACACUGAUUUCAGUCACUUGAAAAUCCUAGAUGUACAGUCCCUGUGGGGAGAGCAGGGGGGCAGGACACGAGGGUUGUGGAGCCCAGGAGUCCACCCAUCCCCUCCCACUGCACCCUCCCUGCAGCAAGAAGGCCAUAUGGUACAGUGGUUAGGCCCACUGCUCUGGAGGCAGAAUCUGUCCUGGGGACACAUCUGACACCUGUCUCUGACAGUAUGACAGUUGAUAGUAUGACCUUGGAAAAGUUAUCUCUCUGAGCCUCACUCUUCUCAUCACUAAAAUGGGAACAACAGAACCGACCACAUAAGAUAAUCGUGAGAAUUGAGUUGAAGGGUAGAAGAAGCACACCUGGCAGGCAGUGAAUGGUUAUAAAUGGCAACCACAGUUCCUAUCUUCCUUAGUGUCCUGUGUCUGGGCUUUUGCUACCUCUUGGUGUCCUUUGUUCGAGGGGAUAAAUUAUCUUAUUUAGUCUUCACUUCAACCCAUUUCCAUAUGAGGAAACUGACCUCAGGGAGGUGGGUUCUGACCUAUUCAAGGUAACUCGCUGCAGGGAAGUAGGAAGCCCAAAGCUCAGCCCCCUGAGGCCAAGCAGUUCCCAAUGGGUGCCUGGAGGGCAAGGCCAGGGCCACCUGCUUUUCAAGGCUCUGUCACCUCUAUGGCAGAUCCAGGAAGACAGCAGGUGCUACAUAAAUGCAAAUGGAUCCAGACUGGACCCCUCAUGCCCAACUAUGGAUUCUGACCUGCAAGAGGACAACUAGGAACCAGGGCCCAAUCCGGCCAAGGCUCAGAUAUUUUGUUAUAGCAACAGAAAUGGACUAAGACGGCACCUGAACGCCUUGACUACCGUGUUGGCUUUGUCUCCUCAUCAGCUGCAUGACCCUGAGCCCAGUGACUUCAUUUCUCUGAGCCUUAGUUUCCUCAUCUGUAAAACUGGAUAAUUAGUGCCUGAUGGAAACAUUAUGAGAAUUAAAUAAGAUGUGCUAGGC